rnacentral:tRNA from 1 species
UCCCUAGUAGCUUGGAUGGUAAAGAAUCUGCCUGUAAUGCAGGAGACCCAGGUUCAAAACCUGGCGAAGGUA